rnacentral:misc_RNA from 1 species
GAAAUGCGAUAAGUAAUGUGAAUUGCAGAAUUCAGUGAAUCAUCGAAUCUUUGAACGCACAUUGCGCCCGCCAGUAUUCUGGCGGGCAUGCCUGUCCGAGCGUCAUUUCAACCAUCAAGCCCCCGGGCUUGUGUUGGGGACCUGCGGCUGCCCGCAGGCCCUGAAAACCAUUGGCGGGCUCGCUGUCACACCGAGCGUAGUAGCAAUCACCUCGCUCAGGGCGUGCUGCGGGUUCCGGCCGUUAAACAGCCUUACAAAACCCAAGGUUGACCUCGGAUCAGGUAGGAAGACCCGCUGAACUUAAGC